rnacentral:rRNA from 1 species
GACGAACGCUGGCGGCGUGCUUAACACAUGCAAGUCGAACGGAAAGGCCCUGCUUUUGUGGGGUGCUCGAGUGGCGAACGGGUGAGUAACACGUGAGUAACCUGCCCUUGACUUUGGGAUAACUUCAGGAAACUGGGGCUAAUACCGGAUAGGAGCUCCUGCUGCAUGGUGGGGGUUGGAAAGUUUCGGCGGUUGGGGAUGGACUCGCGGGUUAUCAGCUUGUUGGUGGGGGAGUGGCUUACCAAGGCUUUGACGGGUAGCCGGCCUGGGAGGGUGACCGGCGACAUUGGGACUGAGAUACGGCGCAGACUCCUACGGGAGGCAGCAGUGGGGAAUAUUGCACAAUGGGCGGAAGCCUGAUGCAGCAACGCCGCGUGCGGGAUGACGGCCUUCGGGUGGUAAACCGCUUUCGCCUGUGACGAAGCGUGAGUGACGGUAAUGGGUAAAGAAGCACCGGCUAACUACGUG